rnacentral:rRNA from 1 species
UACGAGAGGCCCAAACGUUAUUCGGAUUUACUGGGCUUAAAGAGUUCGUAGGCGGCGCGGAAAGUGGGGUGUGAAAGCCCUCGGCUCAACCGAGGAAUUGCGCUUCAAACUUCCGUGCUAGAGGAACCUAGAGGUGAGCAGAACUGAUGGUGGAGCGGUGAAAUGCGUUGAUAUCAUCAGGAAUACCGGAGGCGAAGGCGGCUCACUGGGGGUUUUCUGACGCUGAGGAACGAAAGCCAGGGGAGCGAACGGG